rnacentral:rRNA from 1 species
GAUGAACGCUAGCGGCAGGCUUAAUACAUGAAAGUCGAGGGGCAGCACAGGUAGCAAUACUGGGUGGCGACCGGCAAACGGGUGCGGAACACGUACACAACUUACCUUAGAGUGGGGGAUAGCCCAGGGAAACUUGGAUUAAUACCCCAUAAAACAGGGGGCCCGCAUGGGCAUAUUGUUAAAGAUUUAUCGCUUUAAGAUGGGUGUGCGUAUGAUUAGGUAGUUGGUAGGGUAAAGGCCUACCAAGCCGACGAUCAUUAACUGGUGUGAGAGCACGACAAGUCACACGGGCAAUGAGAGACGGGCCCGACUCCUACGGGAGGCAGCAGUAAGGAAUAUUGGUCAAUGGACGGAAGUCUGAACCAGCCAUGCCGCGUGAAGGAUGAAGGUCCUCUGGAUUGUAAACUUCUUUUGUAGGGGGCGAAAAAGGGCCAUUCUUGGUCAACUGACGGUACCCUAUGAAUAAGCACCGGCUAACUCCGUGCCAGCCGCCGCAGUAAUAC